rnacentral:rRNA from 1 species
GACGAACGCUGGCGGCGUGCUUAACACAUGCAAGUCGAACGGAAAGGCCUGCUUUCCCUUGUGGAUUGCGGGUACUCGAGUGGCGAACGGGUGAGUAACACGUGAGUGAUCUGCCCCCAACUUUGGUAUAAGCCUGGGAAACUGGGUCUAAUUCCCGCUAGGUCUGCAGGGUGGUGCCUGUGGUUGCAAACGAUUUUCUUGUGGUUGGGGAUGAGCUCGCGGGCUAUCAGGUUGUUGGUGGGGUAAUGGCCUACCAAGGCGGCGUCAGGUAGGCGGCCUGGGAUAGUGGGCGGGAGAGUGUGAACGGAGAUAUGGGGAAGGAGACUACGGGAAGCAGCAGAGGGGAAUAAUGCGCGAUGAACGGUGGCCUAAUGCCGCGACGCCGAGUGAGGAAUGACGGCCGUCGGAUUGUGAACUCCUUGCGGCCGCGAGGAAGCGACCGGGUUGGAGGGUGGGUGACGGUAGUGGUAGAAGAAGCACCGGCUAACUACGUG